GUCUUUUUGAUUAUAAUUUGAAGUCUGACCUGCCCAAUGAAAAUUUAAAUGGCCGCGGUAUUUUGACCGUGCAAAGGUAGCAUAAUCAUUAGUUUUUUAAUUGAAAGCUGGAAUGAAAGGUUGGACGAGAAAAUAACUGUCUCAAUUUAAUUUAAUUAGAAUUUUAUUUUUAAGUUAAAAAGCUUAAAUUUUUUUAAAAGACGAGAAGACCCUAUAGAGUUUAAUAUUUUUACAAAUUUUAAUAUUUAUAAAAAUUUUAAUUUUUAAAAAUAUUUUGUUGGGGUGAUAAAUAAAUUUAAUUAACUUUAUUUUUUUUUUUACAUAAAUUUAUGAAUUUUUGAUCCAUUUUAAAUGAUUAUAAGAUUAAAUUACCUUAGGGAUAACAGCGUAAUUUUUUUAGAGAGUUCAAAUCGAAAAAAAAGAUUGCGACCUCGAUGUUGGAUUAAAGUUUAUUUUUGGUGUAGAAGCUAAAAUAUUAAGUCUGUUCGACUUUUAAAACUUUACAUGAUCUGAGUUUAAACCGGCGUGAGCCAGGUUGGUUUCUAUCUUUAAAAUUAUUAAAUAUUUUAGUACGAAAGGACCAAAUAUUUAUAAUAAUUAUUUUAUUAAUGAAUAU
rnacentral:rRNA from 1 species